AUGGUCAGCGUCACCGAGCUCUGCCCGCUGUCCCUGGCGAUCCUGAGCCGGCCCUUGACUGAGGGAGGGCUCUGGGCGGCCGUGACCCUGCUGGAGUGCGGGGGGGACCUCCAGCCCCCCGGGGGGUCCCUGCGCCUCCUAUGCCGAGGGUCUGGGUUCGAUUUCGGGAGAUUUGCCGUUGUCUGGAUGCGCCAGAGCCCCGGGCAGGGGCUGGAAUACGUCGCAUUGCUGGACAGCAGUGGUGGCAACAUCGGCUACGCUGAUUCGGUGCAGGGCCGGGUCACGAUCGCCAGGGACAACGGGCAGAGCUCGGUGACGCUGACCAUGACCGACCUCCGGGACGAGGAUUCCGGCGUCUAUUUCUGUGCCAGACAUUACGAUGGUUAUGGUGCUUUCUCUGCUGGAUAUGGUGUUGUUGCUGGUUGCGGUGCUUUGGGCUGCACAUCCCAUGGCCGUGUCCCCUCCUGUCCCUGUCCAGACCCUUCCCUGACCCAAACCCCAGCCCUGACCCCAUUCCUGUCCCCGUGUCCCAGCUCUGAACUGGUUCUGCCCCAAAUUCUCGGCUCCUGGACACAAACUUUACCCAAACCUUGACCCUUGGCACGAAAU